UCGUGCUAAGCGGGGAGCUAGCGGUGCCCUGUACCCGCAAUCCGCUACAGCGGGGUUGAAUUCCACGCUCGAGGCUCGUGCCAUACGCAUCUGCCGGAGCGCUCGACGUCGAAGGUCGAGUUCUACGCGGCGGAGCCCUGUGAACCUCGUCAGGUCCGGAAGGAAGCAGCGAUAAGCGGUAAGCUCCGGGUGACGUAGAGUGGCUCUACCGGAGCCGGGCGUUCUCGGUAAGGCGAGUGGUUUCGUUGUCGACAGUGUGGUGCACGA
rnacentral:SRP_RNA from 1 species